AAAGAAGAUUCACAAAUACGUUUUGACGCUAAAUUUGAAACCAAACUGGUGUAAAACAUUAGUUCCGGUUUUGUGAUCUGGCAUAAGAGUUUCUAUUAGAGUCAAAACAUAAACCACAUUUCUAAAGACGGGCUUGCUAAAACAAUUAUGAUCAUGAUCUUGAAUCCUUAGAUUUCUACCCGGUCUGGGUUUUUCAUAGAAAAUCGUUUAAAUUUUUUUUGGAAAAUCAUAGUACUACCGGGCCGACAGAGAGUCGAACCUACGACCUCUGUCAGUCGUCUGUGAGAAGGGAGACCACUGGGAUACCAGCCCUUCUCGGUUUUUCAUAGUUACCACAAUUAUAUCUCACCAGCCAAAGAUCUCAUAGACAAAAGAGUUACAGUCAUAACUGGUCCACCAUAGAACACUACAACUGCCAAACUCCAUCUCAAUUUAUAUAUAUAUAUAUAGCAUGUUAUUGAUUUAACUUCAAAGUAAACUAAAAAUCGAGCAUCACAUUCAAAGGUGUAAGAGGAACCUCACUGGGGUUUCUCAACAUAAGUUUCUAAAAAUACAUAUAGAUGUAUAUACAUAUUUGUCCAAAAAAAAUGUAUGUACAUAUAAAUUUUAUAGAUACUCAUAAUUAAAUAUUAAUAUUUAUAUAUACAUAAAUAUAUAUAUAUAUAUAUAUAUAUGUAACUUUAGAAUCUCAUGUUGCGAAACCCCCAUUGAAGGUGUUUUAACAAAGACUUUUCAUGGUGUUUUUCCAUGUGGUGCAACAACUUUCUCAUCUGUCAAAAGUCAAUACAAAUCUUCUUUUGUGAAACAGAUGAAUUAUUUUGGUCGCUUUAAUAUGAGUAGUUAAUUUGUGAAUUCAAUGCACUGAUGCAUAUUCCUGCAUAUGAUCAUGAUCGGGUACAUUAGCUACUAAUACUAUAUAUAAAAAUAAAAGUAGAUUUAAUUUUAACGUUAAUUGUUAUGACAUGAUAUGACAUCCAGAGGUACAUUUGAUCUUCAGUGGUUAUGACGACAGUACAUUGGAUCUUUAGUGGUUAUGACUUUUGCUAUACUACAUAUACGAAAUGUAUGUCACAUACUGUCAUAGUUAGAAAACCUGUGUACACUAUAAUUCUUAUAACAAAAUAAUGUUCACACUAUUAACAAAUAUUAUAUACAAGUAUACAACCAACUGACCAAGCAAAUGGACCAAGCAUUGUUUUUCUUUUAAAUCCUUAUUGUACUAAAGUAAAACUUGGAAAUAUUACAAAGAGAAACUUGCGAAGAAAAUAUCUUGGAAACAUAGAAGACAAAAGAAACAAACUUUAUCCUUUUCCCUUUAAGUAGUAAUAGCUAACCACCA